AAGACCCACACAACACUCCCCGGAGCAAACCAGGUUCUUUGACUUUGCAGACGAGAAAGAAAAGGACACAUUAUUUCAAAAAAGUGUGGCAGAGGUGCUCCUCCCUGAGGAUGAUAUUCGCCAAUGUUGGUGUACCUUCGACAGAUGCAUUUGAAGAUGAGGGUGAAGCUGUUUGUUCCAGAACCAGCUGUGCAAGGUGUGCCGGUUCCACCCCUCCGGGAAGGAAAGCUACCACAACUUGUUAAUGCUGUCAUCAAUCGAGG